AUAAGACACCGCUGUAACAAUAGAUACCGAACAAAUACUGCUCUAGUUUUGGCCCUAAGACACCUGUCUGACUUCUCUGUAACAUUAGACCGUGUCUGUUAACGUCAUUUCACCCGAACACGUACAUGGAACGUCCUUAUGUUUAACAAAAACCCGCUGCCGGUUCAUUAGCCUGGUUCAGACACCUGCUCCUGAACGUUAGCCAGUCACAGUAUUAGCUACAGGAAUGACAAACGUCAACGCGACAACGUACACCGACAAAAGCAGCCAUUUUACACGAAUUAAAGCGUUACACGGAGCGAAAAAGGCGUCGAACAGAACAAAACUAGCCUUUCUAGCCGUUAUCCGUUAACUUCAGCGUGCUAGCUGUUUAGCUUACGAGCUGCUGCUCCGAACACCUGCUCCUGCCUGAGGGAGUAAUGAUGCUGGGAGCUGCUGAGCUUCAACACAUCCACACAAACACACCGGGAACAGUGUUCGACAGAAAGGGGCGCACGAGACGGAGACGGACACGUACGCGCGCGGCUAAGCUAGCGUUAGCGGCGAUGAAACCGUAUCCAGGUCGCUAGCCGACUUAGCAGCAUCUGGAAACGUGGCCACGAUCAACAACACGGCAGAUUCUUCGUUCGUGUAGCAAAACGUCGGCGUGCCCAAGCUGUUACAGACGGAAAGACGACACACACACACGCGCGCGCGCAGGAAAAGAAGAUAUAUUCACCUGGACGGUGCGUGGAGAUGAGGAUGAGGAUGAGGAUGGCAGAGGCGGUAAGGAUGGAGCGCGAGGUGCUGGUUGUUGUUGUUGGUGGGUUACAGUCGCCACGACUACGGUGACUAUGGCGCCGGAUCACAGGGCAACGGUUGCUAUAAAGCGCAUCGUGGUCACAACCUAACAAUAGAUGGAAGGGGAUGAAACGUCACGACGAGACGCAGCACGGAAGAGAACGCGAUUAACAGCGCGGACACUUUUAGUGAACGGAAUAAAUAAUAAAGUAACAAAUCGCCAACACUUCAGACAGAAAAAUCCGAAUUUAUGGGCUUUAUUGAUGUGACUGAAUUAUAAACAAAGCUCAAAACGACGCGGAAACAUACAAUUUAAACGGCUAAAUGUUAUCCAGCAGCGGAAACUCCGAUAAUAUAAAUGUGCGUUAACAACA